rnacentral:rRNA from 1 species
AUGGGCGUAGUCAGCACGGUGCUUGGUCUCUUUGGAUUUGGCUUUGGAUUCUCUUCUGGUAUUGUUAUCGGUUACUAUUUCUUCAUAUACUUCCAGCCAACGGAUGUCAAGGACGUCGAAGUUCGCCCACUUGUGGAAUAUGACUCAAAUUCUUUGGACGGAAUCCUUCCUGAAAUUCCUAUGUGGGUCAAGAAUCCUGACUAUGAUAGAGUUGAUUGGCUCAACAGGUUUCUGGAAUUGAUGUGGCCCAAUCUUAACAAGGCUAUCUGCAGAAUGGCGCAGGAUAUUGCAAAGCCAAUUAUUGCUGAGAACUGUGAGAAGUACAAGAUAGAUUCAGUUGAGUUUGAAACACUUACUCUGGGUAGUUUACCGCCCACCUUUCAAGGAAUGAAAGUCUAUAUCACCGAUGAGAAAGAGUUGAUAAUGGAACCAUCUCUAAAGUGGGCUGCAAAUCCAAAUAUCACUGUUGUUGCGAAGGCCUAUGGGUUGAAAGCAACUGUCCAGAUUGUGGAUCUGCAAGUCUUCGCAUCGCCUCGUAUUACUCUGAAGCCGUUGGUGCCUACAUUUCCUUGCUUUGCUAAUAUCAGUGUUUCUCUCAUGGAGAAGCCACAUGUUGAUUUUGGGCUCAAACUAUUCGGAGCAGAUUUAAUGGCUAUUCCUGUUCUUUACAAAUUCGUUCAGGACACCAUUAAGAAGCAAGUUGGGAACAUGUAUCUGUGGCCAAAGACACUAGAAGUCCCUAUAAUGGAUCCCUCAAAAGCAUCAAAGAGGCCUGUUGGAAUUCUACUUGUGAAGGUUGUAAGAGCUCAAAAUCUGAAAAAGAAGGAUCUGCUGGGUAAAUCAGAUCCAUACGCGAAACUUAAGAUGACAGAUGACAAGCUUCCAUCCAAGAAAACAUCAGUGAAGCGCAGCAAUCUCAAUCCGGAGUGGAAUGAAGAUUUCAAAUUUGUCGUGACAGAUCCAGAAAACCAGUCGCUGGAAGUUGAUGUCUUUGACUGGGAACAGGUUGGGAAACAUGAAAAGAUGGGCAUGAACAUGGUUCUGUUGAAAGAACUUCCCCCAGAGGAGACUAAAGUGUUGACUCUUAACUUGCUGAAGACCAUGGAUCCAAAUGAUAUACAAAAUGAGAAAUCUCGUGGUCAGAUUAUUUUGGAGGCGACAUAUAAGCCUUUCAAGGAAGAAGAUAUGGAGAAAGAAAACGUGGAUGGUGCUGAUGAAGUGCAGAAAGCUCCAGACAAUACUCCAGCUGGUGGUGGGCUGCUUUUUGUUGUUGUUCACGAAGCUCAAGAUCUUGAAGGGAAGCAUCACACAAACCCAUACGCAAAGAUAAUCUUUAAAGGAGAAGAGAAGAAAACAAAGGUGAUCAAGAAGAACAGGGAUCCACGAUGGGAGGAUGAGUUUGAGUUUGUUUGUGAGGAACCACCUACAAAUGAUAAAUUGCAUGUUGAAGUCCUAAGUAAAGCUGGAAAGAAAGGAAUAUUGCAUGGCAAGGUACGGUAUUCUACAAGAAAUGCUUGGCCCUUAAUUGGUCUGGAAGCCUUGGGCUACAUUGAUAUAUCCCUGGCAGACGUGAUCAGCAACAAGCGGAUUAACGAGAAGUUCCAUCUCAUUGACUCGAAAAAUGGGCAGAUUCAAAUCGAGUUGCAGUGGAGAACUUCAUAG